rnacentral:rRNA from 1 species
GCCAGACUCCUACGGGAGGCAGCAGUGGGGAAUAUUGGGCAAUGGGCGCAAGCCUGACCCAGCAACGCCGCGUGAAGGAAGAAGGCUUUCGGGUUGUAAACUUCUUUUAAGAGGGAAGAGAAGAAGACGGUACCUCUUGAAUAAGCCACGGCUAACUACGUGCCAGCAGCCGCGGUAAUACGGAGGGUGCAAGCGUUGUCCGGAAUCAUUGGGCGUAAAGAGUUCGUAGGCGGCAUGUAAAGUCAGGUGUUAAAGGCGCAGGCUCAACCUGUGUAUGGCACUUGAUACUUGCAAGCUGGAAUGCGGUAGAGGUAAAGGGAAUUCCUGGUGUAGCGGUGAAAUGCUUAGAUAUCAGGAGGAACAUCGGUGGCGUAAGCGCUUUACUGGGCCGUAAUUGACGCUGAGGAACGAAAGCCAGGGUAGCAAAUGGGAUUAGAUACCCGUGUA